rnacentral:rRNA from 1 species
GAUGAACGCUGGCGGCGUGCCUAAUACAUGCAAGUCGAGCGAACGGACGAGAAGCUUGCUUCUCUGAUGUUAGCGGCGGACGGGUGAGUAACACGUGGAUAACCUACCUAUAAGACUGGGAUAACUUCGGGAAACCGGAGCUAAUACCGGAUAAUAUUUUGAACCGCAUGGUUCAAAAGUGAAAGACGGUCUUGCUGUCACUUAUAGAUGGAUCCGCGCUGCAUUAUCUAGUUGGUAAGGUAACGGCAUACCAAGGCAACGAUGCAUAGCCGACCUGAGAGGGUGAACGGCCACACUGGAACGGAGACACGGCCAAGACUCCUACGGGAGGCAGCAGUAGGGAAUCUUCCGCAAUGGGCGAAAGACUGACGGAGCAACGCCGCGUGAGUGAUGAAGGUCUUCGGAUCGUAAAACUCUGUUAUUAGGGAAGAACAUAUGUGUAAGUAACUGUGCACACCUUGACGGUACCUAAUCAGAAAGCCACGGCUAACUACGUG